rnacentral:rRNA from 1 species
UACGUAGGGGGCAAGCGUUGUCCGGAUUUAUUGGGCGUAAAGAGCGUGUAGGCGGCUAGGUAGGUCCGUUGUGAAAACUCGAGGCUCAACCUCGAGACGUCGAUGGAAACCAUCUAGCUAGAGUCCGGAAGAGGAGAGUGGAAUUCCUGGUGUAGCGGUGAAAUGCGCAGAUAUCAGGAAGAACACCCGUGGCGAAGGCGGCUCUCUGGGCCGGAACUGACGCUGAGGAGCGAAAGCGUGGGGAGCGAACAGG